UACGAAGGGGGCUAGCGUUGCUCGGAAUUACUGGGCGUAAAGCGCACGUAGGCGGAUUGUUAAGUCGGGGGUGAAAUCCUGGAGCUCAACUCCAGAACUGCCUUUGAUACUGGGGAGCUCGAGUCCGGGAGAGGUGAGUGGAACUGCGAGUGUAGAGGUGAAAUUCGUAGAUAUUCGCAAGAACACCAGUGGCGAAGGCGGCUCACUGGCCCGGUACUGACGCUGAGGUGCGAAAGCGUGGGGAGCAAACAGG
rnacentral:rRNA from 1 species